rnacentral:rRNA from 1 species
CCUACGGGGGGCUGCAGUGGGGAAUAUUGGACAAUGGGCGAAAGCCUGAUCCAGCCAUGCCGCGUGUGUGAAGAAGGCCUUCGGGUUGUAAAGCACUUUCAGUGGGGAAGAAAGCCUUGGGGCUAAUACCCUCGAGGAAGGACAUCACCCACAGAAGAAGCACCGGCUAACUCCGUGCCAGCAGCCGCGGUAAUACGGAGGGUGCGAGCGUUAAUCGGAAUUACUGGGCGUAAAGCGCGCGUAGGCGGUCUGAUAAGCCGGUUGUGAAAGCCCCGGGCUCAACCUGGGAACGGCAUCCGGCACUGUCAGGCUAGAGUGCAGGAGAGGAAGGUAGAAUUCCCGGUGUAGCGGUGAAAUGCGUAGAGAUCGGGAGGAAUACCAGUGGCGAAGGCGGCCUUCUGGACUGACACUGACGCUGAGGUGCGAAAGCGUGGGUAGCAAACAGGAUUAGAUACCCCGGUAGUC